UACGGGGGGGGCAAGCGUUGUUCGGAAUUACUGGGCGUAAAGGGCGCGUAGGCGGCCUGCUAAGUCACACGUGAAAUCCCUACGGCUUAACCGGGGAACUGCGUCUGAUACUGGAUGGCUUGAGUGUAGGAGAGGGAUGCGGAAUUCCAGGUGUAGCGGUGAAAUGCGUAGAUAUCUGGAGGAACACCGGUGGCGAAGGCGGCGAUCCUGGACUACUACUACGCUGAGGAGCGAAAGCCAGGGGAGCAAACGGG
rnacentral:rRNA from 1 species